AUUGAACGCUGGCGGCGUGCUUAACACAUGCAAGUCGAUCGGUAACAGGUGUAGCAAUACAUGCUGACGAGAGGCGGACGGGUGAGUAAUGCUUGGGAAUCUGCCUAUUAGUGGGGGACAACCCGGGGAAACUCGGGCUAAUACCGCAUACGCUCUACGGAGGAAAGCCGGGGACCGCAAGGCCUGGCGCUAAUAGAUGAGCCCAAGUCGGAUUAGCUAGUUGGUAGGUAACGGCCUACCAAGGCGACAAUCCGUAGCUGGUCUGAGAGGACGACCAGCCACACCGGAACUGAGACACGGUCCGGACUCCUACGGGAGGCAGCAGUGGGGAAUAUUGGACAAUGGGGGCAACCCUGAUCCAGCGACGCCGCGUGGGUGAAGAAGGCCUGCGGGUUGUAAAGCCCUUUCGGUGGGAAGAAAAGUCUCGACCUAAUACGUCGGGACCUUGACGUAACCCACUAAAGAAGCACCGGCUAACUCUGUGCCAGCAGCCG
rnacentral:rRNA from 1 species